UUUUAUAAAGAACACCACCACCAACAAUAACAUUCUGUCUAAAUAAAAGAUCCAGAGUUACAAUAUAUCCUUAUAUCAAGAAUACAUCUUUAUUAACCUCCUUGUUUUACCACCAUAUGUUUGAAAACCAUAGACACUAACAACCGUCAGUAUUUUGAGUCUCUCUGGUCAUCCAAUUUGAGGUAUUCAUGUCUUCUUCUGCCAACAUCCAAAUUUGUUGUUGGAAGUAGCCCUAAGUGUGGCAAUCUAUCUUUUUAUCUUUUCAGUCUUCUCGACCAUUAGAAACCGUCUAGUCAUGUCCUGUAGAUUAAGUUUUAUGCAAAUGUUAAUUACUAUAUAAUAACUUCAAUAAUGAAUCUUGAGAGUUAAGUUCAUUUAGAUAGCAUAAAUAAAGUGGUAUUAAAGUAGACAGUGUAUGCAAUUACAAUUUAAAAUAGUGCAUCCCUCAAGUUUCACAUUGAAUCAAAACACCUUUUUACAAAUAUUCUAAGAUUAAUAUUAUGAAUCAUUACAUACUUUAAGAGCACAUGCUAUGGAAGAAUGCAAGCAAUCAUAAGUGUUUUUACAGUGCACUAUCGGAUACAUGUGUCUACAUUAUAUGGACACAUGAAAUCUGUAAUGAACCUGGGCAUCACGCUUACAUAGCAAUGGAAUGUGCCCAACCCGUUUAUUAAAGUAAAUUCUUCGUAACUACGCAUACCCAGUCUGAUAGUGCUCGCCUAUAGAAAAUAAAAAUGUAUACUCUAACCAACUUGUCCUAAAGAAAAGUGUUUCUGAACAGAAAUGGUGAAGAGGUUGAACCUUUUUUUUUCAUCUUCGAAUCUGGAUGAUUCCAAGUCCCUUUAGUUAUCUGUUAUGGUGUCUGAACUACUCUAUUCUCGUAUAUGUCCUAAUAUCACAUAUAGUCAGGAUAGCAAGUGCAGAUAAAUGCCUUGAGAUAGAAAAGAUUAAUGGCAAGUAUUAUUUAUGGUUUAUUCUAAAAUAAUUUUUUUUUUCUUUGUACAUAGUUGAGUACAUAUUUUUUUUGGAAUAGAAAAAAUAUUUGUAGAUUCAUACAAUCACAGUAUGAUUAUAAAUUAAUGAAAUUUUUAUAUUGUUUUGUUCUCUUUGUAUUUCUCUAGCCUUGUACCUUUUAGAUUGUUUUUUUAAGAUCGUCUCUAUAUAUAGUUAGAACGGCAAUAGAACAGAAAAUGUGUACAUGUCUCACUAUAGCAAUUUUUUGUCGCGAAUCUAACGACCAGAAUAUAAUUUAAUUAAACUAUGCAUAAAUUAAAGAAUCGAAACAUCUUUACUAAUUGUUUGAGAAAUAUCUUUGAGAAAAACAUCUAAGAAUUGAAAAGUUUGAACCUCUUUAAUCUGACAAAUAAAAGAGCGUAAAAAUUGUUUAAGAUGAUUUACCUUUUUUCAAUUUUACCUUGAGUAUGAAUGUAUAUUUGAUGCUAUUAAUAACUUAACAGAUUUUCUCUAUAAGGAAAAAAUGCAAAUUGCGAAAUAAAUUAUUGGUUUUUAUUCGUAUAGAAUACCAUUUUAGAAGUUGUCACUGGUCUUAGACAACCCUGGCGUUCCUAGUUGCGCAUUGUUUUUUUACAACUAAAACAAAACAUGCUCCUACAAUAUUAUGAUCUAGGCAUCAAUUAGUAAGAGGUGAUACAGAUAAAUACAAUUAAUAACAUGAUUUGUCGAUUUCAUUUUCUAAUGGUAGUAUGGUACUAUGCUACAGGAUGGACCUACCAAAGGUUAUUUAACAUUAAUAGAGAUGAUGUUGGCCCAUUAAAUAAGAAGAUAACAAAAAAGAUUUAAUUUUACUGACCAUUCGAAGAAGAAUAGGUGAUCUGCUCCAGAAGAUGAAGUGCUUUCGCCCAACAAUUAUUUUCCUUGCAAACCUGAGACUUUCCGGAUCUGUUGAAGUCACCAUCAUUUUUACAUGUUAGUCUUUGAUCCAAAAGUUAUGUUAAUUGACUGAUGUAUAAUAGGUGACUGAAUGGGAAACUCUUAUUUAUGACGUAGCAAAAUUGUAAAAAUAAAUCAAGUAAAAACAAAAUAUCUUACUACGUAAGAAGUGAGAUCACAUACCUUCAAAUGACCAUUGGUGAAAUGCAUUUGAUUGUCAAGGAGACAACAUUUGUUAAUGAGCAAGUAAGAGCUUCCAAAGACAAUUCUUAUUGUAAUUCCAUAUCCAGGUCAUUAGAUAAGGAGGACAGAUCAGGAAAGUGGUUCAGACCUGGUGUGAGGCCAAGAGCCUUCAAGAAAAAUCCUACAUAUUAAUUUUUGGGGCAAUUAAGAACAAUUAUCAAUUUUGAACCGAUUGAAGAAGGGGAAAUAAACAUUUAGUUGCCUAAUAGUAUGGAUGUUUGGCUAAGGCAGGUCCUUAAGUAAACAACAUUGUGCUCGGCACACUUCUUAUAAGUCCUGCCUUCAAACAGCUUGCUUGAAAUAUUUAAAUCUAGGGCCUACCCUUAUUAACUACAUGCACAUCUACAAUUCAAACAUUACUGUCACUGCGUGUUUCUAAUAUAGUAAUAUGUAUGACUCAUCUGGACAAAGACUAAUAAAAAACUCUAUGAACUUUGUUCCAUAGAAUUCACCUUUUCUAUUGCCAAACUGACUUCACGCAAUCAAUCAAAUGAAUGGAGAAGAUGAGAUGUAUGGAUGGAUGGAUCAGUUGGCUUGUCCAAUUAUUCGCCUGCCAUACUUACAUGAUGGCAUGUCCAAUUAAUGAAUUUAACUGUAGACCUAAAUCAAGAAUAAUAACUAACUACUAAUAAGACUACCUUACUAACUAUCCAAAAAACUUUUUUGAUCUUUCGCAAUAUUUUAUCCAUUUGAAUCAGUAGUUCUUACUUCCCUAUUCAUCUUCUGAUAUAUAAUUUUUGAAUGAAUUAAAACAAAAUUCCAAUUGAAUUUUGAUUUUUCACUCUCUUUGUGAUUAAGACUAAUAAAAAUUUUAAUAUUAAAUGACCAACUUGGUGUUCCGUCUGUAAACUGCAUUUGCCAUUGCGCAGCAGGAAUAUCGAUAUGAUUUAUUUCAUAUUCAUUCUGAAAGAAAAUAUAAUAAAACAAAGUGGGUGAACCGAUAGAGGGAGAGACUUUAAAUUUUCUUCAUGAUGUGAGACCCAUGGGAUACUCACAAACUCUAGUACAUCUCAAAUAGUGUAUCAGUGGGAUUGUGGGAAGCUAUGUAAUCACAAAAUCAUCAUACAAAGAGACAUUGUGCUCGAUUAUGAGUAAGUUCCUAAACAUUUUGUCGCAAUAAUAGGCAAAAUUUAGAAGAAGAAGAAUCUAUACCAAAUAUUUCACCAAAUAAUUUCAAGUAAACAGAUAAAAACAGUAUAUUGCAACAAAAAUUGAAUUAAAAUAUUAGAAAGGAGUCAAUCAAUUUUAAAUUCAGAACAUAUGCUCACCUGUGGAGGGUUUGUUGACGUGGUUGUGCAAGAAUGAAGAAAAAGGUGUUUAUUGAAGAACGCCAAAACGCAAUCGGAGCAUAAUCGUACUUAUAAAGAUGGAGGUGGCAACGAUUAGAGAAAGAGUUUUAUGGAAAGAGAACAAUGUUACAAAACGGGAUGCGAUCUUUCAAAUUGUUUCGUUUGGGAGAACAAAGGCG
rnacentral:lncRNA from 1 species